CCGGGAAGACGACGACGUGCCAACGCCUAAAAGCGUAUACGUUUGUGUGUGUGUGUGUGUUGAUCUUUGCAGUGCAUCCCUAACCGUUGCCCCAACACACCUCGCUACCUUCUCACUAAGCGCCCUCGCUCGAAAGCACCGGCGCGAAGUCUUCACACUUGAACCGAAUUGAGAGAGUGAACACCAAUAAGCUGGCUAGUCGGGUCGUCUUCUCCCUCGCCAGCAUACGCCGCCCCACACCCCCUCUGCGUGUUUUGCUGCCACCUUUCUUUUCGCGUGCUGUAGCUAGACCGUCUACAAGUCACGUCUCCCUACUCUUCUUUGGUUCAUCGAGGCCUUUUGCUAUUCACUGCACGCGGCACCGCGGCAGCGCGGACGACUGUAUUCCCUCCCAUAUACGGGCACCGACAGAGGCCUCGGGGCAGAAGGUCUGCCUCCCCCUGCUUAGACGACGCUUUCUUUUUUCACCUGCUUUUGUUUUUAUCUCUCCACUUGUGCCCUCUUCUACCGAUGCUCACGGCAGUCAGACCUAGCGCACCAGGCAUUAUCCGGCACGCGCCCCAGCGCGCCGGCGAUGCCGCUCGUCGCCGCCAGAGCGUGUGGCACACGAUCCACCGCCGCUCCAGCGCAUUCGGUGGCGGAAACGCGCAUUCCAGCAGCCGCGACAACGCCAUCGAGGUCAAUGGGAUUUCUAUUGACCGCCUUACGUACAUUAGCACGGCCCUUGAUGCCCUGCCAGGAGUGGCGCUGCGGGAGUACUUCGUCCCUAUUGUGCGACUCAAGAAGCAGCUCCUUUUGCGCCAGCGUAACGUCCUUCAACGGUUCCCGUCGCGGGACACCGUCGAAGGUGCGGCAGCGUAUGCGAAGAUGGUGACGAACGCACUGACGUCGCUGACCCGGGCACUCAACACGGCUGGGGGAGAUCUGAUGCUGGACGGAGGCGCGGCUAAUCUGUCCUUAGAGCCGAAGGACGUCAUUGCCUGCUUGAAGGACAAAGUUGCCCCCGUCAGCAUCGAGGCUGGAGGGGUGCUGGUCUACCCCCGUGAGCCGCCCGAGGCGUCAUUUGUGUACAUUAUCGUGGCAGGAACUGUGUCCGCGACCUUUUUCCAGCCACAGACGCAAGCGCAGUGUCCGGCGCCUCAGCAUCAACGCCGUGGUGGCGGCUUUGGAGUGCGCGGGGAGCGACGGAUGUACUUCACCUCGGCCAAGGAUGUGGUACACCUGUGCGGCGGUGGCCUUGCGCCAGAAGUGACGUUGGCCAUAGACGACUACGCAGCCACCGAUUCGAUCGGAUACAACAACUCCGCCGUCGCCGGCGGCGGCGGAACGAAUAUGGAUGGUGCGUCCAUGUCUAACGUGACAACUGCGAUCCAGCGCUCGCUGAGACGAGCCAGCCGCACCGCCGGACAGCCAACGCUGCGGCCCAUCCGCACAGAGCAGGUGUGUGGCCCGGCAGUGCUGGGAGCCGGCGAGGCUCUUGGACUGGCGCCAUUCAAGUACGUGUGCUACACCGUCUCGACCACCUCUGUCGUUGCGCCAGCGUCAGGGAGCGCGUCGGCUACGUCGAAGGGUGCAAAAGGCGACGGGGGAGCAACGUACGUGGAGUUCGUCGACGCCUUCCGAAUCCGCACAAGCGACGUGCAUGCCGCUGUGAUCGAAAUCGCUGCCCAGCAGCGGGCGGAGCGGCUGCAGCGUUCUCCGAACCUGUACGUGCCGUGGUGCGCCGCCGCACCGGGCGAAGUUGUGCCGCGUGGGGCCGCCCGCACCGUCGCCGAUUUCAUCGUGGCCGCUCGGCACCGCGCCCUCUACAGCGACUAUGCCGCCACAGAGCUGCUAGUGAGGCAGAGCUGGCUGCUGCAGGACACUGCGGCGCAUACGAUCCGCGCAUUGAUGUCGCACAUGGUGCCACGCACAUACAUGCCUGGCGAGGUGAUGGCCUGCCCGCACAUGCCUGGGUCCGCUCGGCAGCUGUGCUUCCUGCGGCGCGGCCGUCUGAACGUUUUCGUGCUCCCGAAGAGCGGCAUCACUCCGGCACUGCUGAUGACAGGGGAGUCACCGGAUGGUUUGGUGGCUUCGCGCUUCCCAUGCGACGGGUGCGGCUGCUGGCGCCUAAGAGAGACACCCACAGCCCAGCCAGCGGAGGUGGUGGAAUCGGGCGCCUCCUUUGGGGAGCUGUCGGUGCUUUUCAACGAGCCGCGCCAUUGCAUACUGCGGGCAGACACGGUGUGUGAUGUGUGGUGCCUACCGCGCCAAAGUUUCGUCGCGUUGAUGCAGCGUGAUGCCACCCUGCGUGAUGGACUGCUACGGAAGGCGGCGGUUCUCCGCGUGGAGUGGAUGAGCGAGCAGCGCUUCACGCGCGCGCUGGCACAGCAGCUGCGGGCCGGCUCCGAGCUGCUGAAGCCGCUCCCUGAUAUUGCCAUUCGCCUCAUCCAAGAGCGGCUCGAGCCGGUCAUCUACACACCGGGCUCGCUUGUGGCGAGCACAUCGACGAGGUGCACCGAGAUGACCUUCAUCAGGCGCGGCACCGUGUCGACAAUUUGUGAAGGUGUCGCCACAUACGGCCCAGGGGACGUGCUGGGCGAGGGAUGUCUGAUCCCGCAUCGAUGGCCACUGGGGCUUGCUGCGCGCACGAUGGUGGAGGGUUGGCGAAUCAAGGUGAAUUGUCUCAUCGACGCACUCCGGCGGAUGGACCUACUAUACCGGUACUCGGGUCUGGUCACGAGCCAAACGCCGCAGCUGAUGAAGCAAAUCUUCGGUACCCCACAACCAGAGAUCGAGGUGGACACUGUUGGCCGGCAGCGCAUGCCGACGGUGGGGGCACCUCCCGGAGGCAGUACCAGCUACCUCAUGUACGGCCGUGCGGUGAGCGAGGUGCAGCUGAAGGCGCUGUGCUUCCUCUAUCGCGGCUAUGUACGGUGGGAGGACAUCAGCUACUCAACUACGGAUCGUGGGGCCGACAGGUCAGACGCGACACUUCCGCAGACGGCUCUCGACGCUGUUGCUCGUGACGUGGCCAUCAGCCGCCUUAGCGGGAGAAAGGGUCAGCAGGUGUCUGUUGCGCUGAGCCAGCUCCAACAGCGUCGAGGCGCUGGUGUACCCGGCGGCAAGCAUCAGAAGACCGUAAGCGACAUCUCUGCUGUCGCCUCGGGCUCUGCGACUACCACCGUCCCUCUGCCCACCCUAAAUGACACUCCUGCCGCUGCAGGGUCCGGACGCAACACCGCUCGAGCCAAUAAUGGACGGCGCCAACCCACGCGCCCGCCGCGGGUCGAUAGCUGCGGUGUCCCCAGACAGCGGUUAGCAAAUGCCGGCGCCUUCCUAGUGAAGCAGACUUUCCUCGGUAAGGAAGUGCCAUCGAAGGCCGCGACACUUGCUCACGGCCGCCACAGCCACCUACCGCUGCCGCCUCGCCUGCAUCGCAUGGUGCGCCUGCUUGAGGAGCGCGACCGCACCUGGACGGCUGAGCAGUGCCACGAGGCGGCUCUCGCGCAGGAGAUCAAUCAGCGCGACGCCGCCGUCUGGAAUCGGGCCGCGCUGCGGUCUAAGGCGACGGCGAGCACGUCACCGCCCGAGGGCAAGCCGUCCCGCUUUGAGACAGAAGCAGCAACGGUGACAGCUAUGCCCGUCCCACGCACCGCUGCAAGCGCUCUCUCUGACACCAGUCCCGCCCCUGUGCACAUCUUCCUUCAGGGGGAGAGGCCGAGGUACGAGUUGGCUCUUAGCGAGGCCAUCGCCGUCGGCUACGUCAUGCAGCUGCCUGACAUCGCCCACAUCCAGCACUCAGUCUCGAUGGUGGACCCGGACGUCGCGCUCGGGCCGCCGGCGCAGCGGGGACGCCGGCACCUCAUGUCCGUCACCCCCAACGACCGCUACACGAAGCACAACUUUCUUUUCGCGGCUGCAGAUCUCAAAGACGGCAACUCUGCUGAGACGCAGCAGAAGGCCGCGGAGGUCCAGGCGGAGGCGAAGCUGCGUAGCAAGACACGGAAACUGUUCACCAUGAUGCGAACUGCUGUGGCGUCCCGCAUGGACAGCGAGGCAGCGGCUGCGUCAGCGGAAUUCUUUCACCCAUCAGCAGUUUCGGGCGAUUACAGCCCCACUGCCGGCAGCACUGUGGCUCCACCGCCUGACACACUGGUGCUGUUGAAUGAGUCGCAGAUGCAGUCGCUGGACAGCGACGCUGAAGGGCUGGCGAACUCUCCUGCAGCCGCCUUCACCCCGUCGCCGGAUCGCCCUAGGCAGCAGCAGGCGCUCCGGUCGAGUCCCGGAAUUGCCGUCCGUGCCGACUCGAUGGCGACGCAGUCGUCCUUGUGCGGCUCUCCGAGCAAAAGCAGCGGCCAGAAAAAAGAGGAGGCGUUCCAGCGGUUGGUGCAGCGGGACCCGGCGCAGGCGAUCGAACUGCUAUGCAAACACUACGACAUCCCUUGGAGCUUCGCGUGGGCUAACCCGCAGCUCGACAUGGCGCCACCAGCGCAGCAAGUCAGGGACGGGCGCAGCGUCACCGGCUCCGGCUAUAUGACGUCGCCGGUGGCCACAUCGGUGGAGUCACAGCGGCGCGCGCAGCAGCUGCAGAGACCCAGCCUUCUUGAGAGACUAGAGACGGUGGCCAUGGCUAGCAUGCCGAGUGCUAAUGCCACGGGCGGGCUGUCGUCGUCUCUGCUGGCGCUGUCGCUGAAGUUGAGUGGAAGUGCGACGGACGCUGAGGCGCCGCAAAGAAGCGAGGCUGGCACCGAGGACGGCGGCGUUCUUCUCACGGACAACAGGGUGCCGUCCUACCCGCAGCUGGUGCGGGCCACGGCGCGGGAUCGCUGGCACAGCGCCAAUUGCCUCACUGCCGGGAGUGCGCCACCGCUCACGUCGGAAGCGCCGGCGCCGCUGCUGCUGCAGAAAGUGGCCGAUGCGAAUGUGGCGACCCCGAGUGCCACUGCGAAGGCGGCUGCGCCCGGUGCGGGUCUUGUGGAGCACUUCUACCGAGGCAGCCAGCGAUGCAGAGCUCCUGCCCUCUUCGUGGAGGGCUACGGGCCGCUGCAGCCAGUGCCGGAGUACUUGGUAGAGUACCCGCCCACUAUCCACGCCAGCGCCGUUGGCGGCGGUGAGCCGUACGUGGGCAACGGCAGUAUAGGCCGCGCUGGCGGGAAUGGGGCACGUUUUUCGCGCCCGCCAACAUCGAUGGCAGCCGCUGCGGUUCUGCGCCGCAGCGCCUCACGUCAAGGUGGCGUGAGCGGCUCUUUCUGCGGCGGAGAUGGCAGUCACCAGCGCUACCCCUUCCGCUGCGGCAGCUCCUCGCCGUUCGGCAAUGCAGGGAAGAUGGGCCCACGGAAGGAGGAGUUCAUCAUGCCGGACGCCGAGGCCACCGAGAUGCUCAUCCGCCGCAUCCAACGCGACGUGGACGGGCUGAACGAGGUGGCGAAGGAGCAGCGGCGUGAGCGCGAUCGGGCACACACGCGCGACGGCCGCGCAGGCAGGUAUCUGACGGCGCUGGAGGCGACCCUUGGCAAGCCCAACAAAGAGGAGCUGGAGCUGCUGGAGGCGUGGCGGAUGCAGUAUCGACACAUAGGCAGCGAAUCGCUGCGUCGCGCCUCGCUCCCCGUCGCGCUGCGCGCUGAGGCCGGUCAGGACUACAUGAAGCAAGAGCUGGAGUACCUGGCCGAUGCCCCUGCCCCAAUGGAUGAUCCGGUGUGGCGCUACGCGUCUGGCGUGCAGGAAUGGCAGGACCAGCAAGCCGGCUCCGAAGAGGGAACCUCUCUCUUCUGUGGCGCACUGGCGACAGGGGGGUCUGGGGCCGAUGAGUUGGGUGGCGGCGCCGCCUCUGCACUGGACGGGGCACGGCGCGUGGUGGCCACCAUCGGCUCGAUAAGCGUGGGCUUUACCCCCGCUCCCCUGCAGAGCCCAUCUGCGCACCUGAGUCCCGGCGACUACGAGGCGUGGGUGCGCCAGCGCGAGGACUUCUUCGCCGCGUACAAGCGCCUCCUGGAUGGACACGGUGAGGACGGCAAACGGGGAGGGUGGACUGCCGAGCCAGCAGCACCGCUGGCGGCUCCGAAGCCGCGCUUCACCCCAGCACCGCCGUCGCAGAGGCUGUGGUCGACGCCCGCUACCCCCGCCCCUUCCCGGACACCGCCGUCCGAAGCGCCCGCCGAGCAACCGGCAGAUUUUCGAAUGAUCAUGGACCCCCGCUCAGAGGACAGCGACGCCGACGCGGGGUAGAGCGAUGCCACGACCUGCGCGCCGCUGGCUGAUCGACCAGAGAUGUCGCCGGUGCCGCCAUUUCCAGCCGCUCAGCCUCCGCCCACUCCCUUCACUGCGGCAGGGACGGGUAUUGGAUCGGCGUUUGGGUUAUUGGUGACGUCUCCUGUCGUUGCACUUUCAAGUGGUCUUCAGCAAGGCAGAUGCGGCGCUCACAUGCUUCACGGACGGCAACUGAUACCUGCAAGGUACUAGCGCAAGUAGGGAGGGGAGGGAUGAGGGGGGGGUGGCGCCACAGCACCGUGGCUCGGCAUUUGAGAUCUGCGUCGCCUCUCCCGCCCUUCUGGGAGGGGCAGAGCCCGCGUGCGUUGCCGGUGGUGGGGGAAGGGGACCGGCUCUUGUAUAUCCUCUCGCCCUCUCACACUGCCGCUUUUGUGUCUCCCUCUGUAUCUGUGUGGGUGCAUGCGUGUGCUGCCACAGCGAUGCCGUGCCGACUACAGCUUGCGUUUCACGUUAGGCCUUCACAGACACACGUUGGGGUGGUGGUGGGCAUUCCUACCCCCUCGUUUUGUGUGCGUGAGCCCUCGCUUAGAUAUCUACAGCCUUUAGAAACUGUUCGGCUGUCUUAUUUUUCUACUUGACUCUUCCACUUGUACGACUACCGUUACCAGCCGACGUGUCCAGUACCGCAAUUGCAGGCUCAUUCUAGCACAGCCCCUCCCUCCUUCCUCCCUUCCAUUCGGGCACGGGUUGCUUGCGCAUGUAUAGUUGUUUCCUUUCGGUCCGAUGCUGCGAAGAGACUUAUGUGCUUGUUUCGUGUUCUAUUCUUUGCGGGCUCCGUCAUCUCUCUCGCCAUCUGAUUAGUAUCAUUACUUUCUGUGCGUGUGUUCGUGUGCGCUUCGCCAGAGCGCGGUUAGUGCUCUAACGCCAUUGCGGGAGCCCCACCGCCAUCACCGCCAUCUCCCCCCCGCUCCCCAGGCCAUUGCCGGUGUGUGCGUGCUUCAGUGGAGGUUGGCAGUAGAGGAGGAGGGGGGGCGAGGAGUUCCGACAACGAGGUUAGAGCGCACAAGAUCUUUUUGCUCGAAUGGCGGCGAGCAACUUUUAUGCUGUC
rnacentral:misc_RNA from 1 species